CGAGCGGGGGUCUGCGGAGCGCGUGGGCCGCGGUUGAGCCUCCGGUUCCUGGGACCCGCCGUGCGACUCUCUCUCCCCAGGGUUCGUCAGAAAACGAGAACUUCCAGCCCCCGGCGGUGAGACGCGGGCAGGCCGCGGGCGGGGCGAGCCCUCCGCGCUCGGUGCGGGAGUCCAGGUGAGUUCACGGGAAGAUCUGUGUGCGGGGUGAAUGCUUCCGUGUACCUGAAGUGUAAUUGUUGGGGGCUUGGAACUUUCCAGCUUCCUUGGGUUUCAUUUACUCAGCCAUGUAGCUUCUGAAUGCCGACCUGCUGAAGACCCUGUUUUGUAUGGAUACAAAUAAAAGGGGUCCAUCCCCAAGGAGA